rnacentral:lncRNA from 1 species
GACAUUCUCAUAUUUCUGAUUUGCCAGAAUCGACACUAUAUCUCUACUUAUGGUAUGUCGAGUCUGCCCUGACUCAAUAGAAUAACAAGCAAUUUUCAGCUUGAAAUCCUCAUGAGCGCAUUCGUGGAUGUAUGACAUUCUAGCUAUCUUCUGGUCUUUCUCAACCAGUUUCUUCUGUAGCUCAAGGACCUCAUCCUUAUAGUCACGAGCCUUAUCAGUCAUAAGCACUUUCUCGUCGUGCUCUGACUCAAAGUCUGCCUCUGC